rnacentral:lncRNA from 14 species
GGUAUUCGCAAGUGCUGAACUCAAGAUUCUAAAGGCAUUUGUUCUUGCUUUAUUACAAGAUGACCCAAGUGUCAAAGGAGAAUGUUUAAUUUGUAAAAGAAGCAGAGAAGAUUACUGGAAUAUUUUGAUAAACAAUUUAAGCUCCUGGAGUGACUCCUCUAAAUCGGCUUCCGAAGAGAGACAGAAAUAUGUUGAAGUGAGGGCUGCAUUAGCUAUUUUUACAGUAAGAAGAGAAAGACAAGUUUGCACAAAAAAACAGAUAGAGGAAACAAGAAAUUGUACCUUGACUGUUCUGCAGCCUCCAGUCUAUGGAUCAUUUGAACACCUAAGAAAAAUGAACCUGGACAGAUCCAUAAAAAUGGAAUUUCAAAAUGUUGUCUGCUACAUGGGCUUAUCAAGAUUAUAUACAGACAGUGAAUGCAUUGUGCUUAGCUGGCUAUUUUCUCAAUGCAAGAAUACAGGGCUCAUGGGAGAGCAAGAAGCUUAA